rnacentral:rRNA from 1 species
AAAACGACUCUCGGCAACGGAUAUCUCGGCUCUUCGCAUCGAUGAAGAACGUAGCGAAAUGCGAUACUUGGUGUGAAUUGCAGAAUCCCGUGAACCAUCGAGUCUUUGAACGCAAGUUGCGCCCCAAGCCAUUAGGCCGAGGGCACGUCUGCCUGGGUGUCACGC